CUGACUCCGACUCCCAGAGGGGUUCUGAUUCAGUUGACCCGAGCUUCAGAAGUUUUAAUUUUUAACAAGUAGCUCAGGUUCACACCAGAAUUCCACCUGUCUGGCCAACUGGGGAUGUCAGAAGAGGCACAACAGAUUGUGCAUCCAGCUCUGGCUGUGGACCUGUGGUGUCGUGAUGACCUGGGAUCAUCAGAGAGCAGGAGGCCAUUCCCUUUGGUGCCUCUCAUUCCCUGUGUGCUGGCCAGCACAUCAUUAGGCCUGAUGGAAGGCUCUGCCAGGCCCUUCCCCACCGAGGGCCUCAUCAAGUUUCCUUGACAGCUACUACGAAAAGAAAUGAGUGAGUUAUUUUGGUGAAACUAAAUACCUAGUUGGCUAAGCCUAACAGAGAAAUGCUACUGCUGAACCUCAGAGAAGCUUGGGGGCCACCGUGGCCACGUGUGCAGCCUGGAGAACUGAGCCGGACUGAGUUUUGCUGGGAGUGACAGUAAAAUGUAAGUAGAAAAAAAAUCAAGUUAUUGGGGACCUUGCCCACAAGGGCCAUGGAAGGACCCCUCGGGUGAACAGAGCGAACCUUAAGACCCUGUCUCUGGGAGGCAGGUGACACCGAACGCCUUUGAGUCUGGUGUCCUUCGUCUGCUGCAGCCCAGUGUCUAGCCGUCCUGGCUCAGUGAAAUGAGGCAAGUGAAAGAAAAUGCUCAGGAAAGCAUCUGGGCAUCUCAGAGAGAUGGCCCAGGCCCUUGGCCUCAAAGAUUUUGAAUGAAUUCUGAGCCUCUUCUCUUCCACCUCAUCCUGCUCUGGGACAGGCCAUCGAUGCCUAACAGCGCCUGCCGCUCAGGGCCGUGGAUGUGUUGGCCUCGCUGUCACGCCCCAUCUGUGGCUAUCAGGGAACCGUCAGCAUGCUGCCCCGCAGACCCAGUCCACUGACGCAGGUGGCCAUGCUUACGGCCCAAGGGCGUCUUAGGAGAGCAGUUCUGCAGUUGUUUGUUUCCUCCCCCAGGUGUGCAUCAGCAGGGCCUCAGCCGGGGCCGCAAGCCUGGAAGGCCCUUGGCAGUGUCCUCAGUGCACACAGUCAUCUUCCAUCUAGCUGUCCUAAUGUGAGGUGGUGUCUCACUGUAUCCUGCGCCGUUUUGAUGAAGGAACAUCAGGUCAUGCUUCCUCUGCUGAACACCCUCUCAAGAGUAUAAGCCUCGGCCUUCCUGGUGGCCUCCCAAGCCUGAAGGAUUCCCAGUGACCUCUGGCCUCAUCUCUGGAUGAUGCCCUGUCCUUCCCCCAAGCUGUUUCCCAAGCCCAUCUAGCAGCCCCGAUGUCCUUCUGUCUCUGCCUGAUGUCUCCGCUUCACCGGUACUUCAUAUAAGACCUGUGUCUUUGGGAUUUUCCAUAAUCUCUUCUGGUUUGCUGGGGCCUUUUUGUAAGAGGACAGCCUGUUCCAUGGAGAUGUCGUUCAUUUGCUGGGAGCUGCCCUGAAGGAAGGAAUCAGGAGGGAAUAACCGAUACAGAUUUGUAGGCGUGACUUUAUUUUGUAACAGGGAUUUUAGAGUUUAUAGCAGGAAGAAAGCAAAGGUGAGUCCAGGGCUCUUGUUGCCUGGGUAAAGAGAAAUUGAGCUCGGGCUUCCAGAGUAAGAAGGAAGUGUUAAGCGAGUGACCAGCAUGUCUCCUUUGGAGAACCUCUGGGAGCAGCCUGGGGGAGAGGGAGCCAGGCCUACAAAAUGUCUCGAAACUGCCUCUGGGGAAGCCAAAUCUAGGGCUCACCCUCCAGGAAAGAAGAAAAUUUUGGAUGAGCAGAAACAAAGUCUUCCUGGAAUUUAAACGUGGACCCUGCAUUUCUCUAAUCGCUUUGCGUAAAGGAAUAUUUUGUUGCUUUGGAAAAGAAGCAGAAACUUGUUUAAAUGUGUGUUUUCUUUUAAUUAAUUAUGUUUUUCUAAACACUAAAGCAUCAUGACUUUGUGUUCCCUCCUCCCCACUUCCCCUCUCUUCUCUCAGCCCUUUUCCCCUUCUCCCUGCUCCCUCCCCCUAGAAAGCAUAGACUGGGGCUGAACUAGUUCAUGGAGACCAGCCUUCACGCAGGGGAGUCUGUGGGACAAAGGGUCUUCUGCAAUCAUGCUGUUUUAGGAAGAUUAGGAAAAAUGAAUAACUUCCUUGGAAAAAUUGGUUUGGAGGAUUGUUUUCUUCGUUAGACCUCUGGAAAAAAUUCAGUGAUAUUGCAUGAAGGGAAAAGAAUUAAUACAGCUCUUCCUCCCCUUUUCUUUAUUUUUAUAUCCAGGAGUCACUGGAAAAAUCAGACCUUUUCCCAUAUCACAGACCCAGCAGCAGUUUGGGCGUGCUCUUGCCUGUAUAUAGAAAGCAUGUCAAGACCGAUUAAAUUAUCUAAUUAAAAUAAUGACCACAGAGAGCCUGUUUAUUUUGGCCUGAAGAAGGUCAGCUCCAAGGGCCCCUUCUGUCCUGCUGAGGGUCCCUCCUCAGCCACAAGCACACACAAGACCCAUGAUGACCUGGCUCCUAAUAACCUGCUCCCAGACACGUCAGAGUGGGACUCAUGCCACCAGUGGGGACAGGACUCAUGCCAGCUGGGACAAAAGACCAAUCUUUAAGACUCUAGACGUCCGUCUGUCUUUGUAUCUGUAUCUGUAUCGGUAUGGGUAUCUGCGCUGAUACUGUACUUUGUAUCAGUCUCUGUAUCGAAGCAGAACUUUGUAUCAGUCUCUGUUCACCACAGCAACUUGAAGUGUGAGAAGUUCUGGUAAGGGUUAUUUUUCAUCUAUACAAACAUGGACAAUUGUUUGACUCAGCUGACUGUAGUCUUGGGUCCUUUUUGCAUCGUGAAGAUAAAACCUCCACAGAGCAUGUUGACCGGUAACAAGUGAAAAAAAAACGCUGCCAGAUAUUUUUCUUGGUGGUGUUUACACAGGGCUAGGUAAUUGUUUGGACUAAUUUGUUGUGAGAUUGUUGGGCUGUCUUGACAAUGUGCAGCUCAGCCUGAAGGGCACAUUCCCGGGACCCUGUGCCACCGUGAGGAUGCAGAGUAUUAAUGAGGGCUCAUUCCAUCAGGCUAGAUCAGGGUUCUUUGGCCUGCGGUAAGAUUUGGGGGCAGAAUGUAAAUAUGCUGCACAUGGUUUAAUUUCAGGGAAGCCCGGGAGGAAUGCACUGAGCCUGUCAUCACUGCAAGCCCAGCGCAGGGUGUCAGCCCUGUGCAGGGUGUAGAAAUGUUUCUAUGGGCUUCAGAGACUUGCUGUUUGGUCUUGCAGUGAUUGAACAAAGUGCUCCCUUUUCGGGUGGUUGGUUCAAUAUCCUGUAAGUCCUUAGAAUGGAGGCCACAGCCUUGGAAAGCCAGAAUGUAAAGCCUCAUUCUUACUUUCUCCCACGGUCCCAGGAGAUGACAGUUGGAUGAGCACUCUGCAGAGGGGCGCAGGGAGGCAGCCGUUUAUUCAAGGGAAGGGGAAAUGUUGCAGCAACAGGAAAGGGAUUAUUGCAUGCAGAAUGUGAAUUUGAAGUCCUUCAGGAUUCUGAUCAACAGCAAGAACUUUAAUGAAUGCAUUCAUUACUAUUUCUUAGCAUGUACUAGGGCUUGGGCUACAGAGUAAAGCGGGAAAAUGGACCUAUGCAUUUUACUGAGAUUUCAGCAUUGACAGUAGAAUUGUUCUGGUGAAUACUGAACUUAGAAGAAGGUCCAACUAAGCAGAUGUGGAAUUUUGCAGGCAUUUCCCAGGAUAAAGUGACAUAUUCCUCUCCCUCCUGGUGAAGCUUCAGCUCCAUUAAUCAUGACCACUUGGACACUUCAAUGAACUCAUGGAAACAGUCACUGCCAUGCUCUGAGGAGGUCUAUUGAUUUCUAGGUGCCUUUGCAAUUCAUGACCGAGAUCAGAAAGUUUUCAGCCAUCUGCACAGAUUCUAUUCAUCCCUCUGUGUGUGUGUGUCACAUGCGUGCGCAGAAGAAAGGCUUGCCAAGUUUAUCAGCCGGAGUCUUUACAGAUCACGUGAAAGUCUUGUUUUCUUUUUAAGGAGAAGCCUCUGGUGUCUGAUGCCUUUGAUCUGGGCAAGAGACAGCCUUGCCUUUGUGUACAGUGGAGGGACGAGGCACAGGAGGCCAGAGGGCAGGUUCUGCGAUGUUGGGACAUAAGAUGCAGCUGUGGUGGUCUUUGAACUGUGCAUGCAGUAACAGGAAGACUGUGGACACAGGUCUCCUUUGCAGAAUUUUAGAAAUAGGCAGACUCUGCUCUUCCUCUAAGAGUCACAUUGCUGUAAGGCAGAGGAAUAAAACCACUUUCGGCAGCUCCUGAUGGGACACAGCCAUGGCCACAGAGCAAGGUGAUGAACGAGGCAGAAGAGCCCAGCUGAAGCCCUAGUGCCAUCCAUCUACCACUGCAAGCACGUUGACCUUUGACAGCUGGCUUUAUCUCUACUGCACAGUGAAGGAUCAUAUUACAGAAAUAGCAAUG
ensembl:lincRNA